GGGACGGCUCCAUACGGCGUUGUUCUUGAUUCCCGUCGUAACUUAAAGGGAAACUUACACAAUGUCUGGAGGCCUUGACGUUCUGCAAAUGAAGGAGGAAGAUGUCCUCAAAUUCCUUGCUCAGGAACCCACUUAGGUGGAACCAAUCUUGACUUUCAGAUGGAGCAAUACAUCUACAAAAGGAAAAGUGACGGUAUCUACAUCAUCAAUCUGAAGAGGACCUGGGAGAAGCUGUUGCUCGCAGCUCGAGCUAUUGUUGCCAUUGAGAACCCUGCUGAUGUCAGCGUCAUCUCCUCCAGGAACACUGGCCAGCGAGCUAUGCUCAAGUUUGCUGCUGCCACAGGCGCCACUCCUAUUGCCGGCCGCUUCACACCUGGGACCUUCACUAACCAGAUCCAAGCAGCCUUCAGGGAGCCACGGCUUCUAGUGGUGACUGAUCCCAGGGCAGACCACCAGCCCCUCACGGAGGCCUCUUAUGUCAACCUGCCCACCAUUGCUCUGUGUAACACAGAUUCUCCUCUGCGCUAUAUCUACUUUUUAACAUGUAGUAUCCCUAAGCCCCAUAUUGCUUUAGAUCUUUAA